rnacentral:rRNA from 1 species
AGUAGUUUGACUCCGUGGCUCAGGACGAACGCUGGCGGCGUGCCUAACACAUGCAAGUCGAACGGAGUUAAGGAGCUUGCUUCUUAACUUAGUGGCGGACGGGUGAGUAACGCGUGAGUAACCUGCCUCUGAGAGGGGAAUAACGUUCUGAAAAGAACGCUAAUACCGCAUAACAUAUAACUGCCGCAUGACAGAUAUAUCAAAGAUUUAUCGCUCGGAGAUGGACUCGCGUCCGAUUAGUUAGUUGGUGAGGUAACGGCUCACCAAGACCGCGAUCGGUAGCCGGACUGAGAGGUUGAACGGCCACAUUGGGACUGAGACACGGCCCAGACUCC